rnacentral:rRNA from 1 species
GAUGAACGCUGGCGGCGUGCCUAAUACAUGCCAGUAGAACGCUGAAGGAAGGAGCUUGCUCUUUCCGGAUGAGUUGCGAACGGGUGAGUAACGCGUAGGUAACCUGCCUGGUAUCGGGGGAUAACUAUUGGAAACGAUAGCUAAUACCGCAUAACAGUAGCUGUUGCAUGAUAUAUACUUAAAACGUGCCAUUGCACCACUACCAGAUGGACCUGCGUUGUAUUAGCUAGUUGGUGAGGUAACGGCUCAACAAGGCGACGAUACAUAGCCGACCUGACAGGGUUAUCGGGCAAACUGGGACCGGGACACCGCCCAGGAUUCUACGGGAGGCAGGAAGAGGGAAACAUCGGCAAAUGGCGGAAAGCUGAACCAGGAACGCCGGGGGAGGUGAAGAGGGUUUCCGGGCUGAAAACUCCGUUUGUAGGGAAAGACGAGCAGGAGGGUAAAAAGUUCACGCUGUGACGGUAUCUAAAGAGAAAGCGACGGCUAACUACGUG